ACCAAGUUAUCAUAUUUGGAACAAGAAUAUGAAAUGAAUACCUAUUUAAUGUUGAUUCACAUAUUUCUCUAAUUUAAUUUCCAAAAUUCUGAUAUCUGAUAUAAUGGUAAUCUGUCGCACUUAGAUACAAUAUGUUUAUGUCUUAUCAAUAAAUGAUAUUUUCUUAUAGGAUGGUUACUAAGACACUACUCUACUGUCUACAGGAGAAAAACAAGUCGACUUGCCUUAUGCUUUGCUUUGCGUGUUUCAGCUGAUGACUAUAACUCUCAAACUGUGCGAAAUGUUUGUCAAAUACAACUAUAAAAGGGACGAAUGGAUAUCAACCGUUUGUGUCAUGGAGGAUAUUUUCUGGUCAAUUUUCCUUUGAAAUUUUAGGGGACUGCUGAUACCUGACAUUGUCCUCAUUCCUGCAUGCGUAACUUCGGGGAACUGUGCAGAAAAAAGUAGUACAGUGGAGGUUUUAUCAGCAAGUGGAGUUGGAACAACGUCUCCGGAAUCAUGGAGGGUGGCAAUAAAAAUAAUUUUCUUACAGUCACUAAUACCUGCUGACCAAGGAUUUUCGCUAAAUAUGCAAAAUAUCGCAUCAGGAUUUGAUCGAGGAACGAUGGCAUUCUGCUUAACAUGCAGCUUUGUUUAACUGUUUAACUACGUGAUAAUGGGGGAGAUAUUAGAUGAGGAUGUGAUAUAUUAUGGUAAUAUCGUCUAUUAUAUGUAAAUUAUUAAUACUACUGAAAAGAAAUAUCCAGCUUAUCAGGAUUUAACCUAACUCUAUUGAAAUGAGCAUUAAGAUAUUCAAAUUUGUAUAAUGUUUGAGUAUUUCCUUGACUAACUAUAACUUCAGUCAGAUUUGCAGUCAGCAAUGUAGGCUUGGAGUACACUGUUGUAUUAAUAUAAGAGUUUUAAAAUAUUUAACCUCAAUCAACAAUCAAUACUAUGUCCUAAAUUUUAUUUGCUUGUAAAAUUGAA